UACGUAGGUGGCAAGCGUUGUCCGGAUUUAUUGGGCGUAAAGCGCGCGCAGGUGGUUCGUUGCGUCCGAGGUGAAAUCUCCCGGCUCAACUGGGAGGGGUCUUCGGAUACGGGCGGACUUGAGGAGAGCAGAGGUAGGCGGAAUGCUGGGUGUAGCGGUGAAAUGCGUAGAUAUUGGGAGGAACACCAGUGGCGAAGGCGGCUCACUGGACCGGUACUGACGCUGAGGCGCGAAAGCGUGGGGAGCAAACAGG
rnacentral:rRNA from 1 species